AUCAUGUACAAUACAUGAUCAGUGACAGAGGCACCAUCCCGCAUUUUGGAGUUGAAGAUGACACAACUAAUCUUGUGCCUCUCCACGUCAUCAGGUGUGCCAAAGGCAUCCUCCAACACUUGAAGCAUGUCCUUUGGCUGAGCCUCUCGAAUCUGCGACUGAACUCGUCGCUCAUAGCAACCAGCAUGAUACAGUGCACCGUGGUCCGGUCACUGAGCCACUUCUGGUAAGUGUCUCUGACUGUUCCACGUGCAUUGACAGCUGGCUCCUCAGGUGCAGGAUCUAUUAUCACAUAUAGGAUCCGUUCAUGCUCCAGGACUAUCUUCAACUUUCGGUACCAGCUACCAAAGUUGGAUCCUACCAACUUAUCAUUGUCCAACA
rnacentral:lncRNA from 1 species